ensembl:lncRNA
AUGCUCUUACAAGCAGCAACACACCACCUGGACCUCCAAGGAGAGCCAGAAGACCUGGCCUUGCGGACUAUACGUCAAGAUAUUCAAGUUCUCCACGGGUCCAAAGUGUCAUUCCGUGUUUCCCCAGCCGAUAAGCCUCAGCACAGCUUUCUCAUAACCGAUGCCUUCACUGCAGAUCAUCUUGGUCUUGCACUUCACUCUUACCCCAUGAACAAAUUACAGAAAAGUUACAAGCACCUUGUAGGCCUCCCAAUACAGGCAUUUGAACAGGCACAGCCCUUGCUGCUAAUUGGAGCGGAUCACCCUCACUUGAUUACACCUGUUAAGCCAGUAAGGUUAGGACCCCCAGGAGGACCGGCAGCCUUGAAGACACGAUUAGGGUGGACAUUACAGGGUCCCACCCGACUUGUCGAGCAGUCCAUUCGGCCACAGCAGUGUUUAUUGACCUCGACAAAUCCCCUAGUGGAAGAGCUUUUCAAGAACGUAGAGAAACUGUGGCAAGUGGACGUACUUCCUAUCAAGAAUGAGAAAGAGGUUACCAGGUCACGACAAGAUCAAGAGGCCAUUAACAUGCUUGAAUUAAAGACCAAUCGAGUUAAAGUGGACGGAGUUUUACGUUAUGCCACCCCGCUGCUUAGGCACAAAGAUAUGCCUCUUUUCCAAGCCACAAAGGAAAUGGUAAUGCCCAGCCUCCGGAACACCGAACGGUGCCUCGUUAAAGACCCGGAACGAGCGAAGGCAUACAACGCUGAAAUUCAGAAACUGACUCAGGCCGGAGUAGUUAGGAAGCUGAACUACCAUGAGAUGACACAAUCAGUUGAAUCAUGGUAUAUUCCACACCACAUGGUGACCCACAAUAGCAAGAAUCGUAUAGUGUUCAACUGCUCUUACCAGUACCGAGGUCUGAACCUAAAUCAGUGGCUGUUACCUGGACCCACCUUAGGACCCUCACUCCUAGGAGUGCUGUUACGAUUUCGAGAACAUAGUGUAGCCAUAAGUGGUGACGUGAAAGCCAUGUUCCACCAGGUCCGCCUGCUCCCUGAAGAUCGCCCCCUUCUGAGAUUUGUCUGGAGAGACCUGGAAAGAGACCAAAUUCCAUCUGUGUAUGAGUGGCAGGUUUUACCUUUUUGGUACGACGUGUAG